rnacentral:rRNA from 1 species
UACGAAGGGGGCUAGCGUUGUUCGGAAUCACUGGGCGUAAAGGGCGCGUAGGCGGCCGUUCAAGUCGGGGGUGAAAGCCUGUGGCUCAACCACAGAAUUGCCUUCGAUACUGGACGGCUCGAGACCGGAAGAGGUCAGUGGAACUGCGGAGUGUAGAGGUGAAAUUCGUAGAUAUUCGCAAGAACACCAGUGGCGAAGGCGGACUGACUGGUCCGGUUUUGACGCUGAGCGCGAAAGCGUGGGGAGGCAAACAGG